rnacentral:misc_RNA from 1 species
GAUGAAGAACGCAGCGAAAUGCGAUAAGUAAUGCGAAUUGCAGAAUUCAGUGAAUCAUCGAAUCUUUGAACGCACAUUGCGCCCCUUGGUAUUCCGAGGGGCAUGCCUGUUCGAGCGUCAUUAUAACCCUCAAGCUCAGCUUGGUGUUGGGGCCUGCUGCACUGGCAGCCCUUAAAAUCAGUGGCGGCGCCAUCUGGCUCUAAGCGUAGUAAUUCUUCUCGCUAUGGAGUCCUGGUGGAUGCUUGCCAUCAACCCCCAAUUUUUCUAUGGUUGACCUCGGAUCAGGUAGGGAUACCCGCUGAACUUAAGCAUAUCAAUAAGCGGAGGA